UGCCGCGACAGUUUGAUUGUGUGUGCUGUGCUGCAGAGGUUUUUGUUUGUUUUCAGUGUGUGUAGUUUAUAAAUUAUUUAACUCAAUCAUCGGUGUGAUCGCUCUAGUUCGUGGUUGUUUUCGUUUGGGACCGCGCCCGUUAUGAAUCGUAUGGAUUAGUAGCAACCUUGUUGCGAAGCUUUAACAUACAAACCAUCGGACGGUCAGACAGUACACUUGCACGCCUGAAGACCACAGCUAAGAUCUCUCUUGUUCUCUUUCUCUCUUUCUCUUCCCUCUAUCGUUCCAGUGCUUUACCCUGCAACAGACUCUCUAUUUUUCAAAUGCACUUCCCAUUGAAGUUCAUUAGAGUUGGACUAUUAUGACGAACCAUGUCUUUCUCAGGUCCUGUUUGUAUGGCCCCUAUUAACCUGCUGCUGUGUUGAUUUGGCAGCAGGCACCUCUAUAGCAUGCUGCUCUGUUCGCUCAUCUCUCUGUUGAGGAACAAUCUCAAAAGCCAAUCAGCACACUCUACUGUACACAUACAGCAUAAUUAUUGAGCCUACUACACCUAUUAAAACACAUCCGGUCGUUGAUUGGAUUGUGCCUCCAUUCAGAGAGAUUGGAUGGUUCCAGUCAGGUGUACACGUAUUAGAUGCAAUAGCCUAAUUUCCAGUAUCAUGCCAUGUCCAUAUUAGGUUAUUGUGUUCCAGUCAUGAUUGGAUUUGGAUAAGUACCUCUGCAGGUAGAUAAGCAUGUAUUUUGUCAGUGCUGUAGCCUUGACUAGAGUUUCCUGUUAGUCUUGUUUCCUUUUAAAUGACUACCCAUUAAAGUUGUGCUUGUUAGAUGGAUACAUUUUAUUUAGGUAACCGCAGUAAGUCACUGAGAACAGAUAAUCCCUUCUACAAUAAUUAAACAAAGCUUCAAUCCAGAGAAUCAUGAGAAGGGUUUAUCAAGAAAAAGUUCAAAUGGACUAAUUCCAGGUAGAAAGGAGUUGGAGCACUCAACAAAGUAAAAUAGAUCAAUCUCCAACUCCCUUUUACCUGGAAUGAGUCUUUUGGAAGUUUUUCUUGGUGAGCCAUUCUCAUGAUUGUUGUCGUCGUUGAGCCCCCAUCCUUUCCUUUGUUUCCUGAAGAGGGGAGGCCCACCUGAACUCUGGCCACUUCAAUUCAAUAGUUAGUUACUGAUGCUACCCAUAUAGCCUCCACUUGUUGGUUUUGUAAAAUAAAGAUCCCUAUGGCCCUUCUUGAGAGCUCCAAUCAUUUAAAUUAUUCUUCAUUAUACUCAGUUUAAAGUACCCUGCUCCAAUUACACGAUGGUUGGAGCAACUAUGCAUCUGUGAUUUUCCAAAUGUCUGGUGGGCGGGUGGAUUCUCGUGGAGAUGGUAUUCAAGGUUAAUGCCCUCUUAGUCAGUAGAGGAGGAGGGUGGGCCAGGCCUGCUCACUCCUGCCUACUCGAGGAGACCGAGAGCCUCAUAAUCACAGAGGCUAGCAUCUGUGUGUGUUGGAGAGGAGAGAAACAAAGCAUCCUUGGACAACGGUGAUAAUCAGAGGUGUGCGUGCAUGUGCAUGUUGUUGGCGUUGGAGAGGAGAGAAACGCGGCUCGUCAUCCAUGGAGAAAGGAAUCAUGAUAAUCACAAGCUCUCUCUAAAAGCCCUCAUACCUUCCCCUGAGCCAGUGGUUGUGGGCUCCUGGGCUGCUCACUCUGUGACUGACAGCUCCUCCAGGUCUAACAGCCUUCCCACUGUGCACUCAGCUCAUCCCUUAUGGUGCGGCAGGUAGAGAAUAGAGCCGUAUCCUCCCUAUAAUAACCACACAGGCGUUAUCCUGACAUCAACAUAAGGAUAGUGGUGCCGUCGUAUCCCCCAGCACAGCUGGGAAACAUGUCUAUGCAUACAGUAUAUCUGAAUUGUGAUGAUGUGUAUUAGGAUUUGGCUAUGUGCAGUAUGAGGUGUUACAUAGGUAUGUGUUGCGUGUGGUUCCAUUGGGUUUUUCUUGAUCCUCUGUCAUAUCUCUGUUGUGUUGUGAGUCCCCACAGAGCUGCAGGAUUUGCAUCAGUCCUGCUGAAGACUGAAUGUAUUUUGAUGAUUCCCAUAGGUUUCAUCCAUAACAAACUGUUGCAUCAUCCACUCCAUUUCUAGCUUGAAAUCAUCUUCUGAAAGGCGAUAGCUAGCUACCUACUCUGCCGCGCUGUGCUACCUACUCUGCCGCGCUGUGCUACCUACUCUGUCGCGCUGUGCUACCUACUCUGCUGUGGUUACAUCCCUAUUCCCUAUACAGUGCUCUACUUUUGACCAUGGCCCAUAGUGCACUACUUUUGAUCAGAGCCUAUGUAGGGAAUAGGGUACCAUUUGGGAUGCGGCCUGUGAGUUAGUUCCAUACCCCUAACCCCUCUAGGCACGUCAGAAGUCUACAUGCUGUUCACACCAAGGGGAUAACUCUCCGCUCCCAGAGGUCUACUCUGCCUACAUGUGAUAAGCAAAUCUAGAAAAUCCACAGCAUCAAAUCAAUUUCAAACCAAAUUGAACUACAAAUGGAAUGUGCAAUGUGUCUGAUGAUACCCUUGGCUGGUGACUAUUCAUUUAAAUGAUGUCUCUUUCAUUAUUAAAUAAAAAAUGAUCUAAUCUACCAUGAGGUUGAAGCUUCUCAAAGUGCAGAAGGUCUUUAUUCUGAGGAGGAUGUUAGCAUGGAUACUUCCCAAAAUGAUGCCCUAUUUCCUAUAUAGUGCACUACUUUUUAACAGUGCCCAUAGGGCUGUGGUCAAAAGUAGUACACUAUAUAGAGAAUAGGGUACCAUGUGGGAUACAGCUGUAGCUAAACGCUGUUUUGCUUCACAACAUUUCUCAGUGGUCUUCCAAUGUUUGGAAAUUCAAGAACAAGUAAAGGACGGCAGUUACUAUUGAGAAUGACUUUUGAGAUGAAUUUCAAAGCAAGAGUGCUUAGAAGCAAAGAUCAGAAACAUUAGGCUACAUAUAUAGGAAAAAGGGUGCCAUUUGGGACAAGACAAUGGUUUAUAGUAGAGAGCUACCCUUUUUCUAAGAUAGUUAUAUGCCUUAUUAUUCUUUAAUCAAAGAUGUGCUCUUUAUUUUAGUGUGGUGGUAUAGCUACAGUAGAGAGCUGCCCUCUUCAAGGAGAUAGUUAUGUAUCUUAAUCAACGCUGUGCUCUUCAAACUAGCUGUGUCUUUCCCACAGGGAUCUCGGCAUUUAUCAACAGAAAAGUCCUAAUUAAAAACUCAAACAUCCUAUUUAUACGUCCAUGUUAAAGAAGAAGUGGAAUGGAAACUUCGCAGUCAGUGAUCUGAACACAGAUUAAGAAUGUAGUGAAGUAUGGACUGUGAGAACUGAGUAGGCUCUGCAGCAUUGCAGAGGUCGCCGUUGGAAAUCUCCCUACAGCUUCACCCGCUGCCUUGUCUUCCCUUCCUCUUCUCUACUCAUUUUCUACUAUUCAUAGAUGAAUGCCAGGGAAUCACUGAUUGUCAGCCAAGCAAUGUUAGAUUCAAAGCCAAUUGAGUAAUUGGCGUGUACUAUUUGGCCAUUUUUUAAUUUGCAAGGGAAUAUCUAGAAGAAGUCUUUGAAAGAUCUUUAAUUUAAUUCAUGAUGUAUCCUUUUCUCAGUGUGUAGGCUCAUUGUUCCUCCAAUAGUAGGACUUAUGUAGCUGGUGCUGGUUUGAAUUUGGGUGGUAACUGGUCAGGGUAAAGCAUUUGUUUGUCUCUAGUUAAGAUCUUUGGUUCGAAAGAGGGCAACGUCAUGACAACACUGUGAGAGCAUUUAGCACUGUGUGACCCAGGCCUCCAUCUUUCAAGGCUUUCUUUCAAGGCUUUGUGUCCUCUAUCUCUGUUCCCACAGGAUUGUUUCUUGACCAUGAGUCCCAGCUGGUACCAGAGUCUGAUCAAAGUGCCGCUGCCGACACUUUGACCAGAGUGGCAUUCAGUAUCUGGCUGUCCUGAACCAGAAAUUCACUGACUGCUUUGUUCUGGUCUUCCUUGAAAAUCAGGCAGGAAAAACGAGCCUCAAUGUUGUAUUUAGGGAGCCAUUGCCAUCCCAACCGCAGCCUAGGAACAGCCCCUCGCCCCAGCUGGUGUCCAUGCACCAUCACCUGGAGUCUGAUCAACACACCCUGCUACAACUUGUGGACAGGCCUGCUGGAGGGCCAAUCAGGGCCAGGUGGGCCACAGAGAAACAGACUGCUGGGAGGUGUAGUUCCAGACAGGCGGCUUCAUUUAUAAGUCUUGGCAUGUGGGACACAAAAAAAGGAUGUUAUUGUUGAAAAGUGCUAAAUCAGCGAAUCAAAGAGUUCACAUGUCAAAGCUUCCUGUGCAAUGUAUCAGUGUUUUACUCAUUCUACCACUGGGAGAAAAGAUACACACUAUUGUUAAAGGGAUAGUGCAAGAUUUUGGCAAUGAAGCUGUACCUGUAGACUUCCAGUCAUUGCGCUAACGCUAGUUAGGCUCGCAAAAACUACCUUCAACUUCCAUUCAAACUGCACGCAGAGACAUAGAAAUGGCAUCUGACAUUGCAAAAAUCUUGCACCAUCCCUUGAAAGAUACGACCUUACCGGCCUGUGUCACCCGGCCUGUGUCACCCAGCCUGUGUUUUGGUAAAAAGUUGAGGGAUGUGCCUGGAAAAAUUGGUAUCAAAAUUAUAGUUUGAGGGUGUACAGUGUUUGUUUACAUUGUUUACAAGCAUUGGAGUAAAAUAAGAUUAUAUUUGUUCUGAUAGGGUACUGCAGUUGAACUAAGUUAUAUUCUUUAAGAAUCAAUGGGAAUACAUCAUUAAUUUAGAUGUCCAGAAAUUGAUGUAGCAACGAACUAGCUUUAAAGUACAUGAUCCCCUUUAGCUGACAUCCACAUAGCUGCUGUUUUGGUGGUGUCGGGGGUGAAACGGCGUUAGGGCUGUCAAAUCCCAAGUGGCUCCUGGCAUUAUACAGUGCCUUCGGGAAGUAUUCAGACCCCUUGACUUUUUCCACAUUUUCAAAUGUUACAACCUUAUUUUAAAAUGUAUUAAAUUGUUUUUUUUCCCCUCAUCAAUCUACACACAAUACCCCCAUAAUGACAAAGCAAAAACAAGUUUGUAGAAAUGUUUGCUAAUUUAUUAACAAAUGUCAAACUGAAAUAUCACAUUUAAGUAAGUAUUCAGACCCUUUAUUCAUUACUUUGAGGAGUGAGUACUGGCAGCGGUUACAGCACCAAUUCUUCUUGGGUAUGGCGCUACAAGCUUGGCACACCUGUAUUUGGGGAGUUCCUCCCAUUCUCUGCAGAUCCUCUCAAGGUCUGUCAGGUUGGAUGGGGAGCGUUGCUGCACAGCUAUUUUCGGAUCUCUCCAGAGAUGUUCGAUCGAUCGGGUUCUAGUCCGGGCUCUGGCUGGGCCACUCAAGGACAUUGAGACUUGUCUUGAAGCCACUCCUGCAUUGUCUUUGCUGUGUACUUAGGGUUGUUUUCCUGUUGGAAGGUGAACCUUCGCCCCAGUCUGAGGUCCUAACCUGCUCCAGAGCGCUUUUCAUCAAAAAUCUGUACUUUGAGCCGUUCAUCUUUGCCUCGAUUCUGACUAGUCUCCCAGUCCUUGCCGCUGAAAAAUAUCCCCACAGCAUGAUGCUGCCACCACCAUGCUUCACCGUAGGGAUGGUGGCAGGUUUCCUCCAGAUGUGACGCUUGGCAUUCAGGCCAAAGAGUUCAAUCUUGGUUUCAUCAGAUCAGAGAAUAUUUUUCAGAGAAUCCUUUUGGCAAACUCCAAGUGCCUUUUACUGAGAAGUGGCUUCCGUCUGGCCACUCUACCAUAAAGGCCUGAUUGGUGGAGUGCUGCAGAUAUGGUUGUCCUUUUGGAAGGUUCUCCCAUCUCCACAGAGGAACUAUAGAGCUCUGUCAGUGACCAUCGGGUUCUUGGUCACCUCCCUGACCUAGGGCCUUCUCCCCCGGUUGCUCAGUUUGGCCGGGGGCCUCUUGGAAGAGUCUUGGUGGUUCAAACUAAUUCCAUUUAAGAUUGAUUGAGGCCACUGUGUUCUUGGGGACCUUCCUGUCUCGGAGCUCUACGGACAAUUCCUUUGACCUCAUGGCUUGGUUUUUGCUCUGACGUGCACUGUCAAUUGUGGGACCUUAUAUAGACAUGUGUGUGGCUUUCCAAAUCAUGUCCAAUCAAUUGAAUUUACCAAGUGGACUCCAAUCAAGUUGUAGAAACAUCAAGGAUGAUCAUAGGGCGAUAGCAUAGGGUCUGAAUACUUAUGUAAGUAAGGUUUUUAAUUUUUAAUACAUUUGCAAACUUUUCUAGAAACUUGAUUUCGUUUUUUCAUGGGGUAUUUUGUGUAGAUUUAGAAUGAUUUUAAAAAUGUAAUCCAUUUUAGAAUAAGGCUGUAAUGUAACAAAAUGUUGAAAAAGUAAAAGGGUCUGAAUACUUUCCAAAGACACUGUACCUAAAGUGGACUUUGCCAUUGGCUGCAUGACAUUGCAUUGUGAAAUUCCAUAGAGCCUUGUUUACAAGUUUGAACAUAAGAAUGUGAGACGUAAAAUACACCUUAAUAAGGCUGAUAAGAAUACUCAUUAUUUAGGUGAAUUAGUAUGUAGCCUACACUUUCUCGUUCUGAACUUCUAACAUGAGUGCGACGGGUGUGGAUUCGUGACAAUGAUCAAGAACAGCUGCUCACCGAUUUUUGACAGCUCCAACGUACGCAGUUACACUUCUGACGCCGCUAAAACAUCAGCUAUGCCAGUGUCAGCACUUCAUAAUGACAGAAUUGAACUGAAGAAGACAUGCUUUUUGCCCUGAACAGUGCACCAGAGAUUAUGCAAUUUCCCCAAUUUUCAAUGGCAACAUGAGCCUAUUACUCAUUGAUUUAGAGGUUAGUGGUGGUAUGGUAGAAUGGAAAGGGGGUGAGACUUUCAGGCUAGUAUGAUCUAAUGCCAUAGUACAUACAACAUUUUUGUAAUUUAGCAGGCUUUUAUCCAGAGCGAUUUACAGGAGCAUUUAGCGUUAAAUGCCUUGUUAAAUGCCAUCUGCAGAUUUUGUCACCAAGUCGGCUCGGGGAUUCGAACUAGUGACCGUUCAGUUACUGGCCCAAUGCUCUUAACCGCUAGGCUACAUUCCCAUUCAGCUUGUCGUUUGGCUGAUGCCUCUCUACUUCAGAUUAGAGAUCAUCCACCAUACAUGUACAUUAGAAAUCUUACCUGAAGUGGAUCUCAUUCCCCAACCUGUGAAUUGGACUGUAAACAAGUCUGUAUUGUGCAACCAAGUGUUGGUAAAUUAUACCUUAUUCUCCAACUUGUAAACCAUUUAUAAUUGUAGGUGUUCAAAUCAUAUGAAUGAAGGAAAUAAGGUGUUUCCCUCUUGGAUACUGUGCCUUGCCAAAGUCUAGGAAUAGAUUCUCAAGAUCACCACAGCAAUUGUCUCAAGUAUUAUGCAGAGGGGAAAGAUUGCUGCCGUUUCAGCAAUAUUGGGUUGAUUUUUUUUAAAUUCUUCCUAUUGUGUCCUAUAAGUGUCAAACCUGCCAUAUCUUCAUCCUGAAGUGCCUUAGUUUGUUUUAUUUCUUAAUGAUGCAAUCAGGGCAGUGUUAUUAUUAUUGCAAGUGGAAUCUAUGGAAAUUGCAAUUGGACUACCUACUAGCUACAUUCUGACAGGGUUGAGUGUAUAGCUGGUAUUUUUACGCAUAGGAUCCAGCUUGUGUACAACAUUGUAAUAACACACCAGUUUAGCAAUGUCAUUACAAUACCAUAAGACUUAAGUUUGCACACAUUUAAAAUGAAGGAAACCAAAUAUUGUAUGACGUUCCUUAUUUAAAAAGUAAUGAAGGAUUUUGAUAUUUAUAAUGGAUUUCUGAGCAAGGCAAUGUGUCUUUGUUUUGAAGGUAAGAACACUGGAUAUUGAAUAAUGCAUGUCAACAGUAUAGGCAUUCUGAAACUUGUACAUAUGACAUGCUACAAUAAACCUUAUGGCGUAUUCAA